GUGCCAGCAGCCGCGGUAAUACGUAGGAUGCAAGCGUUGUCCGGAAUUAUUGGGCGUAAAGCGUACGUAGGCGGUUUGUUAAGUCAGGGGUUAAAGACUGAGGCUCAACCUCAGGAGUGCCCUUGAUACUGGCAGGCUGGAGGACGGCAGAGGAAAGUGGAAUUCCCAGUGUAGCGGUGAAAUGCGUAGAUAUUGGGAGGAACACCAGUGGCGAAAGCGACUUUCUGGGCCGUUCCUGACGCUGAGGUACGAAAGCGUGGGGAGCAAACAGGAUUAGAUACCCUGGUAGUCC
rnacentral:rRNA from 1 species